GUACACGCUGUGACUAGCAUAUCAAUAAGCGGAGGAAAAGAAACUAACUAGGAUUCCCUCAGUAACGGCGAGUGAAGCGGGAAGAGCUCAAAUUUGAAAUCUUCAAGGUUCUACCUUGACGAAUUGUAGUUUAAAGAAGUGUUUUCUGUUGGAGUUUUGGUAAAAGUUCUUUGGAAUAGGACAUCAUAGAGGGUGAGAAUCCCGUAUUUGACCAUUAUUUCCAGCUUUGUGAUACACUUUCAAAGAGUCGGAUUGUUUGGGAAUGCAGUCCAAAAUGGGUGGUAAAUUUCAUCUAAAGCUAAAUAUUGGCGAGAGACCGAUAGCGAACAAGUACCGUGAGGGAAAGAUGAAAAGAACUUUGAAAAGAGAGUUAAACAGUACGUGAAAUUGUCAAAAGGGAAGCGUUUGACACCAGUGUUGUUUUCUCGAAAAUCACUUAAAAAUGGCUCGGAUUUUGUAUUGCUGAUGACCUUAUAAGCUCACUGUACAUCUUUUCUUGUCUUUUUUAAUGCACUUUUCGUUUAACAAGUCAACAUCAAUUUCUUUUGUUGUAAAAGGGUCAUUGGAAGGUGGCUUUCUUUUCGGAGAAAGUGUUUAUAGCCUUUGGCCUCUGCAAUCGGAGAGAUUGAGGUCUGCAGCGUAGAUCCUUCGGGGUUAGAUACAUUUGUGCUAAGUUAUAGCCUUUCAUAGACAACUUGUUGACUAUGAUCAGUCAUGUAGCUUACUCGCUUAUGCUAUUUUACCUACGCUUAGGAUGUUGAAGACUCUACAGAGAU
rnacentral:rRNA from 1 species